rnacentral:rRNA from 1 species
GAUGAACGCUAGCGGCAGGCCUAAUACAUGCAAGUCGAGGGGUAGAAGAGGCUUGCUUCUUUGAGACCGGCGCACGGGUGCGUAACGCGUAUGCAACCUACCUUCAUCUGGGGGAUAGCCCGGAGAAAUCCGGAUUAAUACCGCAUAAAAUCACAGGAUGGCAUUAUCCAAUGAUCACACAUUUAUGGGAUGGAGAUGGGCAUGCGUGUCAUUAGCUAGUUGGCGGGGUAACGGCCCACCAAGGCGACGAUGACUAGGGGAUCUGAGAGGAUGGCCCCCCACACUGGUACUGAGACACGGACCAGACUCCUACGGGAGGCGGCAGUAAGGAAUAUUGGUCAAUGGAGGCAACUCUGAACCAGCCAUGCCGCGUGCAGGAAGACUGCCCUAUGGGUUGUAAACUGCUUUUAUUCGGGAAUAAACCUUAUUACGUGUAAUAAGCUGAAUGUACCGAAGGAAUAAGGAUCGGCUAACUCCGUGCCAGCAGCCGCAGUAA